CACGUAGGGGGCGAGCGUUGUCCGGAUUCAUUGGGCGUAAAGGGCGCGCAGGCGGCCCGGAAAGUCGGAUGUGAAAACUCGAGGCUCAACCUCGAGCGUGCACCCGAUACUGCCGGGCUUGAGGCAGGUAGGGGAGAUCGGAAUUCCUGGUGUAGCGGUGAAAUGCGCAGAUAUCAGGAAGAACACCAACGGCGAAGGCAGCUCGCUGGGACGGUACUGACGCUGAGACGCGAAAGCGUGGGGAGCGAACAGG
rnacentral:rRNA from 1 species